GACUUCAGUUAUAAAAUAAAUCUGAUUAGCAGAAAACUAAUCAUAUUUGUGAACUGGUUAUAAAUUCCAGAUUAUGGUACUGCUGAUUGUUGUAUCACUUGUGUCUCUAUGCAUGUCAGCCGUGGGAGUACUAGUCUUUAGUGUCAUUUUCUCUGAUGUGACACAGCCACCUUGUGGCAGUGAUAGCAUAUGGCCAUUUCUGCUACCAAAAUGGCAUGUUUUCUAGUGUGACUGUAAAUGUACUCCAAUUUAAAGCUGUCAGGUAAAGACUCUAAUUCAUUUCCAUGAAGAGAUGAAAAAUCACAAGUUUUGCACCACAAAAUGCAACACUUUCGUAAAGUCUUGUUAGAUACUAUGUUUCAUAUGUUUGAAAAACAGGCUGCUGACUUUGUGUACUUAGAAAAUCUGCCAUAGACUUUGAAACACAGCUUUGUAAAUCUCCUGAUGGGAGAUUUUCAGUUCUAGAACCUUUUUUAUUUGAUAAAGCACACUUGGUAAACGAUAUGAAAGAGGAAACUACUGCAGUAACCUAAAAACAGCAUUCUUAUAUAAUUCUAAACAAAAUGGGUGUGCUGAUAUGCAUACAACGUUGACAAGAUUAGUCCACUACUGGAAGAGACAAUACUGCCCUGUACAAUUUGAAAGGCCAAGUGAAAUGGUUGAAUCAAAUAUCCUCAAUUAUUCUCCACUAUGUGAGGUGUUCCAAAAACCUCCCAGGCCUUUAUGGAUUCAGAUACAUUGAUCAUGGAAGGUAUAAUGCUGUAUAAAGCAGCUUUUUCUAGUUAAAAAAAACAUUUUCUGUAGUAACUUAUAACAGUAUCUGGAUUUAUCCUCAGAUAAUUUGGAAACCUGUAAAGUUUAUGUACUCUCUUGUCAGCAAAGCUUCAGCCAGAAUUUUUUUUGUGGGUUGUAGUCUUCGAACCUGCCCAACACCAUCCACCCAGUCCCAUUUGCACACCCUGUGUUGCCAUGUAUACAGUGUGCUUCAACAAUGGAAACAGAGUGAAGGCAUUCCUGAAUCUCUGGAGAGGCGAUGGACUGAGUAUGAUGUGCUCAGAGGAAGGGCCGUCAGGACCGAUCAAAUGCUGAGAGUACACAGACACAAGAGCAGUUGGUUCUCUUUAGGUUUUGCUGUUUGUUUUUUUUAUUUUUCCUGUGGGUGA
rnacentral:lncRNA from 1 species